CCUACGGGUGGCAGCAGUGAGGAAUAUUGGUCAAUGGUCGGGAGACUGAACCAGCCAAGCCGCGUGAGGGAUGAAGGUACAGAGUAUCGUAAACCUCUUUUGUCAGGGAACAAAGACUGGGACGCGUCCCCGUAUGAGUGUACUUGAAGAAAAAGCAUCGGCUAACUCCGUGCCAGCAGCCGCGGUAAUACGGAGGAUGCGAGCGUUAUCCGGAUUUAUGGGGUUUAAAGGGUGGGUAGGCGGUGUGUUAAGUAAGCGGUAAAAGUCCAGGGCUCAAGGGUGGCCCUGAGAUGGACAGUGGCAGGAUUGAGUGCGGUAGGGGAGACAGGAAUUGGCGGUGUGGCGGUGGAAGGUGUAGAUAUCGGGAAGAACACAGAUUGCGAAGGAAG
rnacentral:rRNA from 1 species